GACGAACGCUGGCGGCGUGCUUAACACAUGCAAGUCGAGCGAAUGGAUUAAGAGCUUGCUCUUAUGAAGUUAGCGGCGGACGGGUGAGUAACACGUGGGUAACCUGCCCAUAAGACUGGGAUAACUCCGGGAAACCGGGGCUAAUACCGGAUAACAUUUUGAACCGCAUGGUUCGAAAUUGAAAGGCGGCUUCGGCUGUCACUUAUGGAUGGACCCGCGUCGCAUUAGCUAGUUGGUGAGGUAACGGCUCACCAAGGCAACGAUGCGUAGCCGACGUGGGAGGGUGAUCGGCCACACUGGGACUGAGACACGGCCCAGACUCCUACGGGAGGCAGCAGUAGGGAGUCUUCCGCAAUGGACGAAAGUCUGACGGAGCAACGCCGCGUGAGUGAUGAAGGCUUUCGGGUCGUAAAACUCUGUUGUUAGGGAAGAACAAGUGCUAGUUGAAUAAGCUGGCACCUUGACGGUACCUAACCAGAAAGCCACGGCUAACUACGUGCCAGCCGCCGCGGUAA
rnacentral:rRNA from 1 species